rnacentral:tRNA from 1 species
UUCCUGGUGGCUCAGCAGUAAAGAAUCUGCCUGCGAUGCAGGAGACCCAGGUUCGAUCCCUGGGUAGGGAA